AGGUGUUUUUGCAAUCGAUUAUGCAUCACGUUUAUUAUUAAAAAUUUUUUUUUUCACUUUUCUGAUGGAAGUACCAAGACAGAAUGAUUUAUGUUCCAAAUCCACAAUUUAUUUUACCUUUGAUUCAAUCGAAUGAAAUAAAUAGGUACAAUAAUUUACAUUACUGAGCUUUAACAUUGCUGAGGUGACUAUAGGGGGGCCAUGGAAAUGGAUGUAAAAUUAGAAAUUGGGUACAUUUGGUGGGAGGUAAUAUGGAGUUUUUUAGGUACAUUAGGUGAAAGCUAAUCUGGAGG